UGGGUCAGGAUCAUUGCCGUCCAGAAAGAAUCGCUUAGACGGAAGUAGUGCUGUCACCUCAAACGCUCUGAUCAGGGGCAAAGCCUCAACGGAACCAGUGGGAGUUACUUCCGUGUAGACGGGCAGGAAAAGCAAUGAAGCUCCAAGGAUCUUUUGCUGUCGCAGCGGGAAACGUCGUUGGAAUGCCUGGCCAUCUUCUGUUCCUGGUGCGCUUGCCAGAAAGUAGCGUGGACGUUGCAAUACACGCAGAGGGAAGGAAUGACUGAAGUGCUGUUCGCUGAGUACAUGAAAACCCAGCUACUGCUUACAAGUAAAAGGAUGGAGCUCAAUUCCUGGAGAUUUCAUGGAGAAACCCAUGUAGUUUUCUUGGCAAUAGACAGAAGUUACUUGCUAUUGCCUUUUUCUGGAAGCAUUUUUUACUUCCCUGUUUGGCCUAGAACCCUGGCAUUCCUCAUCCAAGCUUUAACCAAGUCUGACCUUGCUCUGUUUUUGAAAUCAGCCAAGAUCAGCUAGAUGCUGCCAUCUAGAUUUCUCCAGAUGGAAGGAAUCAGCUACAAGAGAGGCACUGAAGGAAUGAACAUCAGCUUUAGAGUAUUCUCCAAUCAAAUAUGAAAUGUCCCAUUUAAUGAUCUGUUAUAAUUGGACUACAGUGUUGCUUUCCAAGUAAGGUUCUGAUUUUGCCUUUUCAUGUGGGAUUAUAAAUUAAAGGCCUAUAAAAAACAGUAACAUUUAACUGUCUGGAAACUUCUGCUUUAUAAUCUAUGUAAAUCUAUGUAACUAUCCCAGUCUCUUUAUAUGUGAUUUUUACAGCAAUGUUUCUAUCCAUGGCAAAGCCUUCAGAGAUAUUCUUCUUCCCUUUUUAAAAAUUCUGUAAAAGAAUAAUCAAAUAUUAUCUUCAGUGAGCCUUUUAAUCGUUUACUCUUUAUAGCAGCAAUUCCUAAAGUGUGGCCAGAGACCACUAAAGUAUUAUAGGAAGGGUUCAAGCAUGCUCAGAAAACUACAUCCAAUAAUAGAUCCAUCUCAUUUAUGACCCUUGGUGCAAAGUGGCUCAGAUGUCCCAAUCUUCUGCCAAUGUAUAGGCAGUGACACCACUAAAAAUGGUGUCAAAAAUGGUGGUGCUCUGUCAUUCCCUAAUGCCACAGAUUCAGGGCUUCCCUUGAAGGUUCUUAGUGGAAGGAUACCAGCCCAACCCAGCUCCAUACUGGAGGCUUAGCAUCCUUUCAUCUCUUUGAAAAAGCAGUCAGAUGCAUUGUUUUUCUUACCAAAGAAAGAAAGACUGCCUGCAAAGACUAUACCCAUAAACUCAGAGGUAUAUUAUUCUUGACAUGGCCCCAGUUCUCCUGUCUCAGGACAAAUAUGGGGGGACCCAGCUGUGGAAUUGUGGGAGUUUUGUAGAAAAGGACAGGGAUCAGCAAAGCAGAGGUAGAGUUCUCAAUUUCAAAAGAACAAAAUAACAAUUUUCUUAUCACCAACAACCACUGCAGAAGAGAAACUGAAAGCUGAGAAAUUUAGCAUGUGAUUUGAAGGCAGAGAGUAGAAUAAUCUUACAGAAGCUCAGCAAAAGCGGUACAGAUUUGAGAGGACAAGGCUCAGAAUUGCUUGGCGUGAUAGCCCAUUGCGGUCGCAUCGUAUGUGUAUGUUUUGUUUGGUUGCAUUGAUUUUAAAUUCUUCCUUUUGUAUGGCACUUUU